rnacentral:rRNA from 1 species
GGCUCAGGACGAACGCUGGCGGCGUGCCUAAUACAUGCAAGUCGAGCGGACAGAUGGGAGCUUGCUCCCUGAUGUUAGCGGCGGACGGGUGAGUAACACGUGGGUAACCUGCCUGUAAGACUGGGAUAACUCCGGGAAACCGGGGCUAAUACCGGAUGGUUGUUUGAACCGCAUGGUUCAAACAUAAAAGGUGGCUUCGGCUACCACUUACAGAUGGACCCGCGGCGCAUUAGCUAGUUGGUGAGGUAACGGCUCACCAAGGCGACGAUGCGUAGCCGACCUGAGAGGGUGAUCGGCCACACUGGGACUGAGACACGGCCCAGACUCCUACGGGAGGCAGCAGUAGGGAAUCUUCCGCAAUGGACGAAAGUCUGACGGAGCAACGCCGCGUGAGUGAUGAAGGUUUUCGGAUCGUAAAGCUCUGUUGUUAGGGAAGAACAAGUACCGUUCGAAUAGGGCGGUACCUUGACGGUACCUAACCAGAAAGCCACGGUUAACUACGUGCCAGCAGCCGCGGUAAUACGUAGGUGGCAAGCGUUGUCCGGAAUUAUUGGGCGUAAAGGGCUCGCAGGCGGUUUCUUAAGUCUGAUGUGAAAGCCCCCGGCUCAACCGGGGAGGGUCAUUGGAAACUGGGGAACUUGAGUGCAGAAGAGGAGAGUGGGAUUCCACGUGUAGCGGUGAAAUGCGUAGAGAUGUGGAGGAACACCAGUGGCGAAGGCGACUCUCUGGUCUGUAACUGACGCUGAGGAGCGAAAGCGUGGGGAGCGAACAGGAUUAGAUACCCUGGUAGUCCACGCCGUAAACGAUGAGUGCUAAGUGUUAGGGGGUUUCCGCCCCUUAGUGCUGCAGCUAACGCAUUAAGCACUCCGCCUGGGGAGUACGGUCGCAAGACUGAAACUCAAAGGAAUUGACGGGGGCCCGCACAAGCGGUGGAGCAUGUGGUUUAAUUCGAAACAACGCGAAGAACCUUACCAGGUCUUGACAUUCUCUGACAAUCCUAGAGAUAGGACGUCCCCUUCGGGGGCAGAGUGACAGGUGGUGCAUGGUUGUCGUCAGCUCGUGUCGUGAGAUGUUGGGUUAAGUCCCGCAACGAGCGCAACCCUUGAUCUUAGUUGCCAGCAUUCAGUUGGGCACUCUAAGGUGACUGCCGGUGACAAACCGGAGGAAGGUGGGGAUGACGUCAAAUCAUCAUGCCCCUUAUGACCUGGGCUACACACGUGCUACAAUGGACAGAACAAAGGGCAGCGAAACCGCGAGGUUAAGCCAAUCCCACAAAUCUGUUCUCAGUUCGGAUCGCAGUCUGCAACUCGACUGCGUGAAGCUGGAAUCGCUAGUAAUCGCGGAUCAGCAUGCCGCGGUGAAUACGUUCCCGGGCCUUGUACACACCGCCCGUCACACCACGAGAGUUUGUAACACCCGAAGUCGGUGAGGUAACCUUUUAGGAGCCAGCCGCCGAAGGUGGGACAGAUGAUUGGGGUGAAGUCGGAACAAGGUAGCCGUAUCGGAAGGUGCGGCUG